AAGCGAUUGUUUCACUCGUUGGUGUCACCGACAAGUUUUUUUUUCUUUUUCCCGAAAUACAUCGGCGAUGAGAGCUGUGGUGUGCUUGUCCUUGAUUGGUGUCGUUGCGCUGCCACAUGCAUGCCUGCUUGAUGGUUAAGGAAAUGAAAACCACCCCCAUGUUUUAUACGGAGUGCCAUCUUCACUCGAGUAGUGUGUGGUUCUUGUCCGUUUACCAUAUAUAUACUAUGCCAAAGCAUUCAGGAUUCAAAUUGAGGACCAUCUAAUUCUUUCUUUUUUUUAACUACUAUAUAUAACUAACCAGGUCAAAGCCAAUAAUAAUCUGCAAACAGCCCGCUUCCAUUAUUAUUAUCCCAUGUAUGAGAUGAUCACUAGGAGUAUCUCUCUAAUUCAUUCAGAUUUGUGUCAAUCAACAACCAAAAUUGGCUUGGACCGCUUGACGCCAGUGACGGACCCAGUAUAGAGUCAUUGCUGUCACCGGACAGCAGUGCCUGUCAUUAGGGCCGUGUACCCCUUUCUCAUUUUAUAUUGAUGACAGCAGCUCAGCUCACCACGUGACCUCAGUAUUCUUCUGGAGUCCAGACUCUAGAGGCAAGAGCAAUUGAGCAUGCUUUUGUUUGGUCCACGGCCCAUUUAUCAAAUGAAUUUACAAAGCCCAAUCACGAGCUACAGGUCCAGCUAAAAGAAAAUAUCCUACGCAGGAGACGAGGAGUCCCUCCAUCUUCCUUUCCUUCAGAACGAAGACUCGCAAGACAUACAACAGCAGGCGGCUGGCGGCAGCCGGCGGGAGCACACAUCAACAUCAGAUUAAUCCAUCGAUCCAUUGGGGCCUUUUAAAUUUGUAAUCAUCUAUCAAACUUCCUUGAGAUCACAAUGGCCGGUGGUUCAGGUAGCAAAAGCAAAUUAGAGAUGAUGGUUGGAAAUCUUUA